UACGGAGGGUGCAAACGUUGCUCGGAAUCAUUGGGCGUAAAGCGCACGUAGGCGGACCGCUAAGUCGGAUGUGAAAGCCCUCGGCUUAACCGAGGAAGUGCAUUCGAAACUGACAGUCUUGAGUAUGGAAGAGGGUCGCGGAAUUCCCGGUGUAGAGGUGAAAUUCGUAGAUAUCGGGAGGAACACCAGUGGCGAAGGCGGCGACCUGGGCCAAUACUGACGCUGAGGCGCGAAAGCUAGGGGAGCAAACGGG
rnacentral:rRNA from 1 species